rnacentral:rRNA from 1 species
ACUCCUACGGGAGGCAGCAGUGGGAAUAUUGCACAAUGGGCGAAAGCCUGAUGCAGCAACGCCGCGUGAGUGAUGAAGGCCUUCGGGUCGUAAAACUCUGUCCUCAAGGAAGAUAAUGACGGUACUUGAGGAGGAAGCCCCGGCUAACUACGUGCCAGCAGCCGCGGUAAUACGUAGGGGCGUAGCGUUAUCCGGAUUUACUGGGCGUAAAGGUGCGUAGGUGGUUUCUUAAGUCAGGAGUGAAAGGCUACGGCUCAACCGUAGUAAGCUCUUGAAACUGGGGAACUUGAGUGCAGGAGAGGAAAGUGGAAUUCCUAGUGUAGCGUGAAAUGCGUAGAUAUUAGGAGGAACACCAGUAGCGAAGGCGGCUUUCUGGACUGUAACUGACACUGAGGCACGAAAGCGUGGGGAGCGAACAGGAUUAGAUACCCUGUAGGCUCU